GCAUGCCGGCCAGAUUGUGGGAAGAAAAAACUCAGAAAAAGUAAGAAUGAGGAAAAAGAAGGGCUCACUGGUUACUGGUACUUUCCACAACCAGAUCUUCCAGAAAUAAUACUCGCCCAAGAAUACUUUGAUAGCAGCCGAGCUUCUUAGCCGGAGAUAAUGUUUCAGUCAUUGGCCAAAGAUGGAACUAUCCAAAUAACCGAUCAUGUGGAGAUUGAGAUAAAGGUUAUGAGUGUUGUCUACGAAUCUCAGAGAUAGCUUGAGCAGAACGUAAGUGGGAAAAUCAAAUAUUCACGGCUCUUCAUCAGCCAGGAAUGGCAAAUAUGACCAGCCUUUUUCUUGAUUCAGCCCAC